rnacentral:rRNA from 1 species
AUUGAACGCUGGCGGCAGGCCUAACACAUGCAAGUCGAGCGGUAGAGAGGUGCUUGCAUCUCUUGAGAGCGGCGGACGGGUGAGUAAUGCCUAGGAAUCUGCCUAGUGGUGGGGGAUAACGUUCGGAAACGGACGCUAAUACCGCAUACGUCCUACGGGAGAAAGCGGGGGAUCUUCGGACCUCGCGCCAUUAGAUGAGCCUAGGUCGGAUUAGCUAGUUGGUGAGGUAAUGGCUCACCAAGGCGACGAUCCGUAACUGGUCUGAGAGGAUGACCAGCCACACUGGGACUGAGACACGGCCCAGACUCCUACGGGAGGCAGCAGUGGGGAAUUUUGGACAAUGGGCGCAAGCCUGAUCCAGCAAUGCCGCGUGCAGGAUGAAGGCCUU